rnacentral:rRNA from 1 species
GAUUAACGCGAAGAACCUUACCUACCCUUGACAUGGUCGGAAUCCUGCUGAGAGGUGGGAGUGCUCGAAAGAGAACCGGCGCACAGGUGCUGCAUGGCUGUCGUCAGCUCGUGUCGUGUGAUGUUGGGUUAAGUCCCGCAACGAGCGCAACCCUUGUCCUUAGUUGCUACGCAAGAGCACUCUAAGGAGACUGCCGGUGACAAACCGAAGGAAGGUGGGGAUGACGUCAAGUCCUCAUGGCCCUUAUGGGUAGGGCUUCACACGUCAUACAAUGGUCGGAACAGGGGGUUGCCAACCCGCGAGGGGGAGCUAAUCCCAGAAAACCGAUCGUAGUCCGGAUUGCACUCUGCAACUCGAGUGCAUGAAGCUGGAAUCGCUAGUAAUCGCGGAUCAGCAUGCCGCGGUGAAUACGUUCCCGGGCCUUGUACACACCGAAUCACUAGU